rnacentral:lncRNA from 1 species
GAGUGUCAUGUGCCCUGUGUAUGCCAUAUGUACAGAUAGCGUGAGCAAGGGAUGCUGGAAACCAGAGUCUUUUGCACAACCAAGUAUUCAAUUGCUGAGGCAUGUCUCCGGUGCCACUAAUGUAGUUUUAAUUGGAUUUCAUAUGUAAGCUGUGAAAAUAACUACAUGUUUUGAAAAAUGAAAGCAAAGCUACAUGCUUCAUUAGCAUGAUUGAUCUGACAGUAUUAAAAAAAAAAAACCUAAAAACAACGCAAAAAAUAUAUUUCUGAAACAGGAGGCUUAAUUUCGGUUUUCUUCAAGAGUGUCUUUAUUAUAAAUGUUGAUUUUAAUUUAUGGCCUCUUAGAAAGUAUCUUUCCUUUUUUAUCAUAAAGACUUCUUACUAUAGAUGUACUAUGGACUGAUACAUAUCAAAUGGAGGCCGAGCACAAAUAAGUACCAGCAUUGUGUGCUUUUUACAGAAUUUACCAGUCAUGGUUAGAUUAACCCCACGUUAGAAUUUCUACUGUGUAUAAAAACUCAUCUUUGUGACAUGGGGGUUUCCAGUGAGCUGCUUGUGUGACUGGCACUCCAAGCUCUAUACAUUCACGUUUGGGGUGACGUUGUUUUCCCUGGACUUCAUUUAGUUCUGUGGAUUAAUUUUUUACUUAACCAUUUCUGUUUCUUUUGAGAGAGUUCUAAAUGGCCUUUGUGGUGGUGGCUGGAUUCCUUCCCUUAGAACUGAGGUAUGUGUGUGAACAAGGGAGGUAGGACUGACCUGAGACUACUGCUGUUCUAAUCAUUAACUUACAAAGCUGUGUAGCUGGAAACAGCAGGCAAUAAAAUAAUUGUUUUUAAAUAAAGUCACUAUUUUAAGAUUUAUUCCAGCCGCGUACCCGGUGGACUGGGUUAAGGACUGGAGCGGUCUAGAGGACCGACUUGAACGCUGUGGAUUGUUGGAGACUGCAGACGCUGUGAAAUGAGUAUACUUGUCUGUCUUGUUGCUGGAUGGGCAAGGCCACGGCAGCUCCAGAUAGUGGAUAAUAGCCUUUAUUUGCAGCUUAUGCAGCGGAGCAUAUUUUGCAGUAAAGGGGAACCAAAGGGCAAGGUGUUCUCUACUUGUGGGCUUGUAAAGGGCUCAGAGUUUUCUUUAUGUUAUUGUAGAAUGACAUUAUUUUUGCUGUGGCGUGCUUAAAACUAAAGGGCAAAUGAUCCAAAAGAAUAAUCUUGAAAUUCAAUAGCAAGAAAACUACUUGACAUUGUGGGCCGGAGGCCAGCAAACGCGGGGCUUUCAUUGAAUGCGUGGGAAAUGGGGCAGGCCUGGCGUUUAAAGGGACAGGGUGCAGUCCUCCAGAGAAGAAAAGCCCUCAUGUAUGAUUUGCUUACUUGGAGGAAAAAAAUAGACUUAAAGUUUUCUCUAAAGGAUCUUUAUUGGAUCAACUCUUUAAGUCUUUGAAAGACACGGAGUGAAUUUUUCCUAAUGCCUCCUCUCACAGUCCCCAGUCUCGUCUGAAAAUUAGUGUGGAGUAAAAUUGUUUAUAACAGGAGAGAAGCAGCUUUUCAAAUAAAAGUGCUUUGUGGGCUGUUCAAACGGAGGAUAAUAUAAUUCUCUCGGAACCUGAGCACUUACUACUUUGUUUAUGUAGCCUUUUAAAAGGUAGGGGUAGAGUGAGGAAUGGGGAUGCCCUAGAGACCCAGGCUUUAGAAUUUUCUGUUUUUUCUAUGUCUUGAGUUUUCCUCCCCCGUCCACUCAUGAAUCCCCCUCUUCCCUCUCCACCACCUCCCACAAUCCCUCAAUAAAAUAGUAUUUGAAAGACUUGAGUGACCAGUCCUGUGUACUAGCUUCUUGCUUGGGGCAGUAAUGUACUGUUUUCAAUGGGUGGUCUUGAGUCUCCAUGGGAGAUUUUACAGGCAGUGGGCUCUGAGAUCCUCUGAGUGUAUUAUAUUGAACAUGGCCAGUUAAAUUCCCAAGCUAUAGAGAAUACAGAGAUAGCUUUACACUGCUGAGUUCCUGCCGGUAAUUAGGAGAAAAACCAAUUUGUUUAAUUGUGUUUGAAGAAUUUAUGGCUUAAGUCUACAAAAGGGGAGCAUAUUAACCUAGUAUUUGGGAUUUGCUUUUUUUUUUUUUUUUUAAACAAGCCGUAAUAUGUGAAUUGAGGACUGUCCCUUAAUACGUAUAUUUUAAUUCAUAGUUUUUAAGCAAUUCAUAGUCCUAUAGAAAACUCAUUGGGGGUCACAUUUCUUGUACAUGUGGUAGCAUUGUACAGUGGUGGGGUCUUCACAGCAGACACUGUAUCUGAUUUGUCUCAGUAAGCACUUAUCUUUGGUGUGUAGCAGGAAUGCACAGCAGUCUAAAAGGUAGCUAGUGCUCUGCCACAAACCUUUGAUGAAGUAAGCAUUACUAGAAUUAUUAUAAAUUAAUACUGGAUUAAAGUUGGCUUUUAGAAAAGAGGACCCUCCAUAGGC